rnacentral:rRNA from 1 species
GAGGAGAGAUCUCGGUCUAGGUUCGCCUUGUACUGAGACGCUCGAAUCUUUUUUCUGGGGAAGCGAGGUGUCCUUAACUGGGCGUCUCGGGGAACCAGGACGAUUACCUUGAGAAAAAUAGAGUGUUCAAAGCAGGCUUUUGCUUGGAUACGUUAGCAUGGAAUAAUAAAAUAGGACUUUGGUUCUAUUUUGUUGGUUUUAAGGACCAAUGUC